UACGGGGGGGGCAAGCGUUGUUCGGAAUUACUGGGCGUAAAGGGCUCGUAGGCGGCCAACUAAGUCAUACGUGAAAUCCCUCGGCUUAACCGGGGAACUGCGUCUGAUACUGGAUGGCUUGAGUUCGGGAGAGGGAUGCGGAAUUCCAGGUGUAGCGGUGAAAUGCGUAGAUAUCGGGAGGAACACCAGUGGCGAAGGCGACUUUCUGGGUUGUUCCUGACGCUGAGGAGCGAAAGCCAGGGGAGCAAACGGG
rnacentral:rRNA from 1 species